rnacentral:rRNA from 1 species
CCUACGGGAGGCAGCAGUAGGGAACUUUCGUCAAUGGGCGCAAGCCUGAACGAGCAAUGCCGCGUGAACGAGGAAGGUCUUCGGAUCGUAAAGUUCUGUUGAAGGGGAAAAAGAGCGGAGAGAGGAAAUGAACUCCGAUUGAUAUUACCCUUCGGGGAAGUCACGGCUAACUACGGGCCAGCAGCCGCGGGAAUACGGAGGUGGCGAGCGUUAUCCGGAAUGAUUGGGGGUAAAGGGUGCGUAGGCGGCCUGCUAAGGCUGGAGUGAAAGGUACCG